CUCCUACGGGAGGCAGCAGUAGGGAAUCUUCCGCAAUGGGCGCAAGCCUGACGGAGCAACGCCGCGUGAGUGAGGAAGGCCUUCGGGUUGUAAAACUCAGUCACCUGGGAAGAGAGGUAUGGGGAGUGGAAUGCCCCAUACGAGACGGUACCAGGGGAGGAAGCCCCGGCUAACUACGUGCCAGCAGCCGCGGUAAUACGUAGGGGGCAAGCGUUGUCCGGAAUCACUGGGCGUAAAGCGUGCGUAGGCGGUCUUUCAAGUCCGGGGUGAAAACUCAAGGCUCAACCUUGAGAAUGCCUUGGAAACUGGGGGACUUGAGUACUGGAGAGGCAAGGGGAAUUCCACGUGUAGCGGUGAAAUGCGUAGAGAUGUGGAGGAAUACCAGUGGCGAAGGCGCCUUGCUGGACAGUGACUGACGCUGAGGCACGAAAGCGUGGGGAGCAAACAGGAUUAGAUACCCUGGUAGUCCACGCUGUAAACGAUGAGUGCUAGGUGUUGGGGGUUCAUCCCCUCAGUGCCGAAGGAAACCCAAUAAGCACUCCGCCUGGGGAGUACGGUCGCAAGACUGAAACUCAAAGGAAUUGACGGGGGCCCGCACAAGCAGUGGAGCAUGUGGUUUAAUUCGAAGCAACGCGAAGAACCUUACCAGGGCUUGACAUCCCUCUGACCGGUUCAGAGAUGGGCCUUCCCUUCGGGGCAGAGGAGACAGGUGGUGCAUGGUUGUCGUCAGCUCGUGUCGUGAGAUGUUGGGUUAAGUCCCGCAACGAGCGCAACCCUUGACCUGUGUUACCAGCACGUAAUGGUGGGGACUCACAGGUGACUGCCGGCGUAAGUCGGAGGAAGGUGGGGAUGACGUCAAAUCAUCAUGCCCUUUAUGUCCUGGGCUACACACGUGCUACAAUGGGCGGUACAACGGGAAGCGAGACCGCGAGGUGGAGCGAAACCCAAAAAGCCGUUCGUAGUUCGGAUUGCAGGCUGCAACCCGCCUGCAUGAAGCCGGAAUUGCUAGUAAUCGCGGAUCAGCAUGCCGCGGUGAAUCCGUUCCCGGGCCUUGCACACACCGCCCGU
rnacentral:rRNA from 1 species